rnacentral:rRNA from 1 species
UACGGGGGGAGCAAGCGUUGUUCGGAUUUACUGGGCGUAACGGGCGCGUAGGCGGCCACCGCAAGUCGGUUGUGAAAUCUCCGGGCUUAACCCGGAAAGGUCAAUCGAUACUGCGGGGCUAGAGUGCAGAAGGGGCAACUGGAAUUCUCGGUGUAGCGGUGAAAUGCGUAGAUAUCGAGAGGAACACCUGCGGCGAAGGCGGGUUGCUGGGCUGACACUGACGCUGAAGCGCGAAAGCUAGGGGAGCGAACGGG